rnacentral:rRNA from 1 species
GCUUAAUUAAUUUGGAGAUUUCUAAACGAACUCUGUACAAGAAGUGCUUGCUUCUUCUUGGAUGAGUUGCGAACGGGUGAGUAACGCGUAGGUAACCUGCCUUGUAGCGGGGGAUAACUAUUGGAAACGAUAGCUAAUACCGCAUAACAAUGGAUGACACAUGUCAUUUAUUUGAAAGGGGCAAUUGCUCCACUACAAGAUGGACCUGCGUUGUAUUAGCUAGUAGGUGAGGUAACGGCUCACCUAGGCGACGAUACAUAGCCGACCUGAGAGGGUGAUCGGCCACACUGGGACUGAGACACGGCCCAGACUCCUACGGGAGGCAGCAGUAGGGAAUCUUCGGCAAUGGGGGCAACCCUGACCGAGCAACGCCGCGUGAGUGAAGAAGGUUUUCGGAUCGUAAAGCUCUGUUGUAAGUCAAGAACGAGUGUGAGAGUGGAAAGUUCACACUGUGACGGUAGCUUACCAGAAAGGGACGGCUAACUACGUGCCAGCAGCCGCGGUAAUACGUAGGUCCCGAGCGUUGUCCGGAUUUAUUGGGCGUAAAGCGAGCGCAGGCGGUUUGAUAAGUCUGAAGUUAAAGGCUGUGGCUCAACCAUAGUUCGCUUUGGAAACUGUCAAACUUGAGUGCAGAAGGGGAGAGUGGAAUUCCAUGUGUAGCGGUGAAAUGCGUAGAUAUAUGGAGGAACACCGGUGGCGAAAGCGGCUCUCUGGUCUGUAACUGACGCUGAGGCUCGAAAGCGUGGGGAGCGAACAGGAUUAGAUACCCUGGUAGUCCACGCCGUAAACGAUGAGUGCUAGGUGUUGGAUCCUUUCCGGGAUUCAGUGCCGCAGCUAACGCAUUAAGCACUCCGCCUGGGGAGUACGACCGCAAGGUUGAAACUCAAAGGAAUUGACGGGGGCCCGCACAAGCGGUGGAGCAUGUGGUUUAAUUCGAAGCAACGCGAAGAACCUUACCAGGUCUUGACAUCCCGAUGCUAUUUCUAGAGAUAGAAAGUUACUUCGGUACAUCGGUGACAGGUGGUGCAUGGUUGUCGUCAGCUCGUGUCGUGAGAUGUUGGGUUAAGUCCCGCAACGAGCGCAACCCCUAUUGUUAGUUGCCAUCAUUCAGUUGGGCACUCUAGCGAGACUGCCGGUAAUAAACCGGAGGAAGGUGGGGAUGACGUCAAAUCAUCAUGCCCCUUAUGACCUGGGCUACACACGUGCUACAAUGGUUGGUACAACGAGUUGCGAGUCGGUGACGGCAAGCUAAUCUCUUAAAGCCAAUCUCAGUUCGGAUUGUAGGCUGCAACUCGCCUACAUGAAGUCGGAAUCGCUAGUAAUCGCGGAUCAGCACGCCGCGGUGAAUACGUUCCCGGGCCUUGUACACACCGCCCGUCACACCACGAGAGUUUGUAACCCCCGAAAUUGGUGAGGGUACCUUUUUAGACCUCACCACUACAAGGCACG